AGCUUUUUCGCCCAAUUAAAACCUAGUUUUUUCUCACUAUUCCAACCGCGACUGGUCUUCCAUUUCUCCCACCGCCGUCCUCUCACCGGUGUCGCCACCGUCCUUGCUCGGACGCUCACCGUCGCAGCCGCCGUCGAUUGGUAAGUUCUCUUCGAUUUGAGGGGGUUCUCUUCUGGUUAUGGGAUGUUAAUAACUAAGCUUUGUUAUUUGAUACUCCCUCCGUCCGCCAAAAUUAUGUAAAAUUGCUUGGGCACGGGAUUUAAUAAAAUUGGUGAUGAUUUUGAUGUAGUGGAGAAAGGGUCCCACCACUUUAUGAGAUGUGUGGUUGAGAUUGAAUUUUGAGUGAGUUUUUUGUAAAUAAAGAGUGUUAGUAAGGAUAAAAUAUUAAAGAGGAUGGUGAGACCAUUGCUAUAAAAGGAAAGUGACAUAAUAUUGGCGGACGCCAAAUAUAGUAAUUUUUACAUAAUCUUGGCGGACGGAGGGAGUAUUAUACUCCCAAUUUAGGGAUUGCACUGCCCUCGCCCAGCCCUACCCCGUCUCGCGACUCCAUAGCUGCAACAAUUGGUAAGCUUCGUUAUCAAUGCAGCAAACUUUUGAUACCUUAAUCUGUUUGAUUGAUUUCUUCUAAAAUGAGCUUUUCUUAUUUGAAAGUUUUUAAAGAGUAAACACACUAUUAUCUCCAAUUUUUUGAUACCUAAAUUGUCGGUCAUUUUUUUUUUAACUUUCGGGGUUGAAUUUAUUAUCUCCAAUUUUAAUGCUUCAGUAUUUCAGUUUUGAUCGGUUUCAGCAAGUAUUGGGUUCUAAAAGGAUUAAAUCAAACCAAUCAUCAUUUCUAUGUAGUUUUUGGUACUUAUUUAGUCGGCUAUUUGAUUUAAAUCUGAAAGUAUAUAAAGUUGUGGAAUCAUCUCCUCAUUUGGUUGAAUGCAUUCUAGAAAAGUCUGCUUCUAGCACUAAUUAAACUCACUCGAGCUCUCACCAUAGCAGACCAUUCCACUGGUGUUGAAUUCUCAUGCAGCCAUUGUUGUCACUGCAUUUAAUUCUGAAGUAGUUUCUUUUUCAUUCAUGUUUGAGCAAGAGAUUAUUCCAGUAAUGCUUCUUGGAGAGUGUAUGUUUUGUGCUAAGGAGAGUAUCUUUGCUGGAGUUAUAGACUUUCCCAAAAAACUACGUGUUCAGUUUACUUCAUUGAAAGCUUUGUUUAUAGCAGGGUGGUUUUGUCAUUUCAUAUAUUCCCCAUCAUCAAUUCUGAAUGCUUGUUUGAUAUAUGUAUACCACCUAUUCCAAGUGUUAGGCUAUUAGUAUCUUUUAUUUCGAGAAUCCAGCAACCCAUUUUUGUAUAAUUUCAUCUUAUUGUGUUUCACUAUAAGAAAUAGAGUAGUCUCUGAAAAUGCAAAAGCAACUUAUUGAUUCUGUGUUUGAGAUGAUUCCAUUUGUCUUAUGAAGGUGGGGAGAACAUUUUCUUACCCUAAAUUCCUUGGCUCAUUUAUGAAGCUGCUCUACUACCCCUUCUGUUCAGAAUCUAAGGAAUUAUUGAUGAUUAAGAAAUAGUUUUCUGGGUUCUUUGGGAUUAUAUAGUUCAUUAGUUUGUGGUCUGACCAGAAAUUCGGAAUGGAAAUUCUUUUAAUGAAAGUUCAUGCUGUGGUUCAAAAGGUUCCAUAAUUAUAGGAGUAUUAAACAAGGCUGAUUGCAUAUCUUUUUGAAAUAAAAUGAUUUGUGUUCGUGGAUUGGAUGGUAUCUUUAACUGUAUUCGAGGAUGCAUCUAAAGCUUGGCUUGCAAUAUAAAAUCUUUUUUCUAAACAAAAUAAACAGUUUUACAUGCUUUUGAUUUAUAUGCUUUUGUGAACUACAGAUAACCAAGACUUGUACGUCUUACAAAAAAACAAAUCUUUAAACUGUUGCAAUUUAUAAAAUAGAAAGUUAAUUAUGGAUUUUGCUGAAACCUGCGAACUUUUUGGAGUUUUCUAAAACAGAUUAAACCCCAAAGGAUUUUUAUUUUUAGUGUACUCUGCAUAUCAUUGAUGCUAUGAGAUUCGUCAUGUUUGUUGUAUAUGCAGAUAGGCGAUUACUUGGAUGUGGCAAUCACCCUGACUCAGUGAUCCUUGCUGCUGUUGUGUUGCUGAACUUUAUUGUGAGCAUAACCGACCACAUUUCUGUUUUGGUAGAAUCAUAUUUAGCUCAUGUUUGUAAUAUGACCCUUGAGAGGAGCUCCACGAAUGAUGUGAAUUCUACUUGGAAAUUGAUGAAUAGCUUUGUAUGAAUAUAUGUGUCCCCCACCUUGAUUAGCCUAUUUAACUAAUCAUCGAUGCUUAGAUGCUUAGACUGAGAUUAUGCAUGCUUUCUGCUGAUUCUGGAAUCUGCAAAUUGUACUGCUGAUUCAUUUAUUGAGAACAAGAAGAACUGCAAGUACUGUGAUAGUAGUCCAAAGUAUUACUCUGUUAUGUUUUUUUGUCACUCGUCUGAGAUGCGGGUUGCCUUCAUAUCUGCAACAGAAAAUGGAUACCUUUGGGAUUAUAUUUGUAGAGCCACAUUAGAAUCUUGAUCUGUUAGUACAUUUUGUGGUUUUUCUUCACACAGCCAUUUUUUUCUUCACAAAGUUUAAGCUUAUUUUUCAAAGACUUAACUUCCCGAGCAAUAAAAAUUGAAGAUAUGUGUAGACUCAGUGACAGCAUUCCAAUAACUUUAUGUCAACUUGAGCGUAUCUUUCCUCCUAGUUUCUUUGACUCAAUGGAGCACCUACCAGUACACUUAGCGGAUGAAGCUCGCCUUGCAGGUCCAGUUCAAUAUCGGUGGAUGUACCCAUUUGAAAGGUACAAAUGAAGCUUAGUCAAUCACACCAAUUUAUAUAUAUUCGUAUAUAUUAAUAAAACUUAUUCAUUCACACCAAUUUUAUUUGUAGAUACUUACGAAAGUUGAAAAACAACGUAAGAAACAAAGCUAGAGUUGAAGGAUCUAUCUGUAAUGCGUACUUAGUGGAAGAAGCAUCCACGUUUUGUUCUUAUUAUUUCGAGGACCAUGUAAGUACGAGAGUGAGGAACAUGCCUCGUAAUUAUGAUGGUCGAGCUGAUGUUAGGGACGAUGACCAUCCAGACAUGAUUUCAAUAUUCAAACAAGUUGGACGUCCAUUCGGAAAGAUGUCAAAGAGGUUUUUGAAUGCUAGAGAGUGUAAAGCUGCACAUACAUAUAUACUGCUCAAUUGUGUUGAGGUUACAGAAAGAUAUUUCAAGUAAGUAUCCAUACAUUAAGUAGAAAUCUUCCGGUUACUACACAACUAGUUAUAAUCUAACUUGUAAUUGUUUUUUGGUUCAAGAUUGUUUGAGGAUCAAAUACGUGAAUCAGCUCCAUUCAUUUCAGAAACUGAUUUUGGGACUAAGAUGGAGAAGGAAUUUGCAGAUUGGUUCGCAAAAUAUGUGAGAUACAAUUUAAUUUAACGUGUUUACAAGUACACAUUAUAAAGAAACUCAUAUAGCAUCAAUGUCUGUCUUAUUAUGAUAGGUCCAACAUCCUUCUAGCAAUGUCACAAAUAAAUACAUUAGGGAUCUUGCAAAGGGGCCACUGACAGAAAUUAAGACAUAUCCCGGAUAUUAUGUCAAUGGAUACAAAUUUCACACACUAGCGCAUGGAACACAAAGAGCCAGCAUGAACAGUGGUGUUUGCAUAAAGGGUGAGACGUAUGACCAAACCGAGCUUGAUUUUUAUGGGCGUUUGUUGGAGGUUUGCGAGUUGGAAUAUCCAGGUCUACCAAUAAAAAAAACGACAUUAUUCAAGUGUGAGUGGUUUGAUCCAUCACAUGCUGGGACAUUGGUGCAUCCUAAUUUCAAAUUGGUUUCUAUAAACCACUUGCGUAGGUACAACAAAUAUGAACCAUUUGUUCUAGCAAGCCAGGCCCUUCAAGUAUAUUAUUGCUCGUAUCCUAGUUUGAAACAAUCUAGGAAGGAUUGGUGGGAAGUUUGUACGAUCAAAGCUAGAUCUAAGGUAGAAGUCCCAUAUGGAGCAUCUACUUCAACAUUGGAUCCACCGUUUCAAGAGGAUGAAUUGGUACUUUCUAUAAACACUGCCGUAGAUGAUGACAUGACACCAAUUCAUCCACUUGGUGGUAUGAUAGAAAUCGAUGAGGCCAAAGAUGAUACUGAUGAAGAUAUAAUCUUGUCGGAUAAGGAAAAUGAUGACGAUCAUGAUAAUUGGUGAUUCUUUCAUAUCAUUUUUAUUAAUUGGUGAUACUUUCAAUAUUAAUUGGUGAUACUUUCAUAUCAUUUUUAUUAAUUGUCUUAUUGUUUUGCAUUCAGAUAUGACCAUGAGAGGACGUUGCAUUAGGCGUGGCAGUACGGGUGCUGCGCGUGGUGGUGGUAGCAGUAGUACUAGUGUUGCACGUGGUGGGGCUAGUAGCGCAUCCUCAGCACACCCAGCAUCAUCAGAUGUCCAUGUGGAGGACUCCGUCGAGGAUGUAGAAUUUUCCAACUCUCAUACGUCAGAUAUAGUGGUUGAUGGGAAGAUCUCGAUGCCAAUAUCACGUACUGGGUAUGUUGUAUUUAUAAUUCGUUGUUGAAUAUUCUUUAAGCAGUUUUGAUAUUUUUAGACGAAGAUAACCAAAAUCAUGGAAAAUGGUGUUGAGCAGUUGUUGAUGCUAUGCUUUUCUCAUUAUAUAUCCACACAUACUUUGUUGUUCUGCUAUGCUUCUUGUGAUAACAUAGUUUUUUUCAUUGUUGUUUAAUUUGGUUUUGUGCUUUGCCUUUGUAUGUAAAGGCAAGAAUAGUUUACCAAUAUAUCUCAUGAAUUAAUUAAAUUGUUUAUUUUUGUAGGGUGGUAGGAUCACACAAGAAGAUGUCUAGUGUGAUUACCACAUCUUUCAAGAAAGUGAAGAACCCAACUGGCUUUAAUUGGAAAUUGACUCCCAACAGCAUCAAAAAAUUGUACUUUGAUGAAUUCAAAGUAAGUGUUAUAUAUUGAUUUAUGUUAUUUUACAUUUAUCUUUAAUAAAUAUUAAUGAGUAAUUUUUCUAUAGAAAGUGUACACAUGGCCUGAAAAGUUUGAGAAUCAAGUCUACAAAAAAUGGUCUCAAAGGGCAGCCAUGAGGUAUAGCGACUUCGUGCACAACAUGAAGUUAAAGAGGGAUGAUGCAGUUGAGGGAGGAGGUAUGCAUGGAUACAUUGACGAGGAUGCAUGGAAGGACCUUUGUGAAUAUUGGGAUACCAAAAGUGUCAAAGCAAAGUCGGAAAAGGCAAGACAAUGCAGGUUAUCUGAACCUGAUGGACCGGGCACCGGGAUUGUCAAACAUAAGGGUGGGUCAAAAUCUGUUGAGGUUAUCGCUCAAGAGUUGGUGAGUACCUAAAGUUAAUAUCAUCAUCAUCAUGAUUAUUAUUAUUAUUAUUAUUAUUAUUAUUAUUAUUAUUAUUAUUAUUAUUAUUAUUAUUAUUAUUAUUAUUAUUAUUAUUAUUAUUAUUAUUAUUAUUAUUAUUAUUAUUAUUUAUCGUAUAUAAAUGUUUGUUUAUAUCUUCAUAAACAGGCUGCAACGAAGGGAGUCCCAGUGUCGAGUGUGAUAUAUGACUCUUUUCGAGCUUUACACGUGAAGAAGGAUGGGACUUACACCGAUAAGAAGUCUGAAAGAAUCGAUGUAAGUUAUUUAAAAUUCUUUAAUAUGAAAGAAGUUUUAUCUCAUUUUUAUGGAAUUAAUAGCAUUACAAACUUGUUUAAUCUCACCAUUCAUUAUCUUAAAUUAUAAGACUUCAAUCAUUAGUAGAUAGGAUGCAAAUCUUUUACAUCAAUAGAUGGAGCUAUUCAUCUUUCUUGGAGCUUAUUUAUUAUCAAACAUAGCCUUUCGUGUAAAUGGCUUGGUAGCCUUGAUUUGAUAGAGUAGAGUGAUUACCUGUCGAAUCCACCGAUAGACAUAAGUAGAGAUCUUGAAUCCCUUGGAAGAAUCAAAUUUAGUGAAUUAGCAAUACUUUAAUCAUUUGAGUGUAGCUUAUGAAAUUUGUUGGUUGUAGAUUGGUUGAAACAAGUAUAUGUCUUUAAUAGUGUAUAUUUUAAUAUGUUUUAUAUAACAUUUUUUAUCAAUUAGGUGGAGGUACAAGAAAUUGCUGCAGAGAUGGGCCAACCUAAUCCUGAUACGCCCGUGGAUAUGAACAAGAUAUAUCUAGAUGUCUUGGGAGCGGUUUAGAUGAAAAGCAAAGAUUGUUUGGCACAGGUAGUCUCGCAUCGACCUUGAAGACCAAUAUAUCGGG
rnacentral:lncRNA from 1 species